rnacentral:lncRNA from 1 species
UCAUAUGAUUAUGAACGAUUAUUAUUAUUAUCAUUAUUAAGCUUUGAUCUUGAUCUCCUCUCUCAACGCCUUUCUCGAGCAUCGAACUAGUCAUGCGUUACACAUUACAGUGCCUUCACUGACCAGACAAGCUACUUGAGACAAAGGCAAGUCUUGUUUCCUUUCAAACAAAUUAAACUAACAUUUCCAUCAAUUUACAAAAGUAAAAAAGAGGUAUUUUAGAAUACCUCAUAUGAUUUUGUAUAACCGUAAAACCUCUAAUUUAUCGAGUUAUUUAUUUAUAGAGGUUUCACUGAUUAAUCAUCAAUCUCUCUCUUCUUCUCUCUCUCUUAAUGCCUUUGCAGCAAGCAUCGAACACGUCACACGGUGCACUCCACAGUGACUUCCGCAGACCAUUACGCUACAUGAGCAAAGGCA